GUCCAUCCCACUCCUUUCCCUCCCCCCCCCAACAACCACAAGUCCAUUCUCUAUGUCUGUGAGUCCGUUUCUGUUUUGCAGAUAGGUUCACUUUGCGAUAUUUUAGAUUCCAUAUAUGAGUGACAGCUUAUGGUAUUAGUUCUUCUCCUUCUGACUUACUUCACUUAGAAUGAGACUCUCUGGUUGCAUCCAUGUUGAUGCAAAUGGCAUUAUUUCAUUCUUUUUUAUGACUGAGUAGUAGUUCCUUGUAUAUAUAUAUCAUAUCUUCUUAAUCCAUUCCUCUGUUAAUGAACAUUUAGGCUGCUCUAAGCAAUAUUUUCAAAACAGGGGGCACAUUGGCUUUCGGGGCAGGGAAAACAUUAUUUCUGGUACCAGACUUGUGCGCAUGACCAGACAUGGCAUUCCUGCUUCCACCCUGUCAAGUCAAUGUCAUUAAUAGUCUUCCCUCCUCCUUCCAAUGUCCUCUAAGGGGUGGAACUUCCCCCAGUAAGACCCAUAGGAGUUGAGGUGAGGUAGGUUUUUACUUCUCCCUAGUGGGUUUCUCUGCUGACCUCUCUGCUCCUUUGGGAUUGGCUGACCCCACCUCUUGCCUGACUCUUUGCUUGCUCCUUUGUUGCCUGGGGUCAGUGAGGUUUUGCAGCCCUGGAAUGGGAGGGCGGAAGUGCCAGGUGGAACAAGCUGUGGCAAUAGGGAAUGCCUAUGGAGUGAAGAGAUGUCAGAGCCAACAGGACAGUAGCACAGGGCAUCUCUCGCGGGGCCUUGGGCUCUGAUUGCUUUUUUAGACCUCCUUGUUAGCUUCUUGGUAGUGAGAAGAGGUCAGGGAGGGGGUACCACUGUCUCUCUGGAAGGGAGUCUCAGGGCAAGGGUCUGACUUUCCUGAAGGCAGGCAGGAGCUCUGUAGAAGUAUUGUCCAGGUCUUAGUAUUUUUAGGGGGUGACAGGAGCAGUAGUGACCCCCUUGGGGCUGAGAGUGGGAGCAGGAGAUGGAGAAAGAGCUGCCAACUGCUGCAGGCUCAGACAGCAGAGACGUCAGCCUUGCUCACCCCUGCACCAGCCUCCUGGAUAAAUAAAGUGAUGAAUAACCAAUUGUCGUGAGCUUUGGAACACCCACACUCAGUUAAUUGCAGAGAUGAAAAGCUGGGGUCCCCACGGGGCCAUCUGUAUCCUGAUGUAACAGCCUGGAAGGUUCAGGAACCUUGGAAUGGAGCCAGUGAAUUAAAAAUGCCACCCAGCUCUUCAUUGUCCCCUGUUUUCCUGCCUUGUGUCCUCCCUCCUUACCUCUUCCUAGUUAUCUUGUUUGCAUCCCUUUCUCCUCUCUUCUGCAUUUAAAUCUUUCACUAAGCAUAAUGGAAAAGAUCCAGUCUCCCAGAAGGAGCCCCAUGUGGUCAGUAGUCUCUCUAACAACCACAAACCCACUCCUCUCAGGCUCUUCAUCCAGCCAAACAUCGAUCCAUCUAUUCAUCCAUCCACCCAGGCAUUCAUCUUCAUCCUUCCUCCAUCCGUUCGCCACAUACCCACCUACACACGUCUCUCCACCCUCCCAUUCAACAGUCUACCUAUCUACCCAUCUAUCCAUCCAUUCCUCCAUUGCUCCAUUCUCCAUCCAUCCUCAUCCUUCUACCUAACCAUCCACCACCUGUCCAUCCAUCUAUCAAUCCAUCCACCCACCCAGCCAGCCUUGCCUAAAAUCCUCCCUCCACCAGCAUCUCUCCUUCCAACUGGACAGUUACCUCCCUCAAUCAGAGCAUGUGACUCUGACUUUUAAAAAAAUCAUCCAACCAAUCUUGGCUGGGGAAUGAGGUGCUGCCUGAGACACUUGGGGACUUUCUAGGUCCCUUGCCUCUUCCUGCUGCCUACAGAUAGGGACUAGCUGGGUGAAUGGGAAACCUCUUUCCUGAUACCGAAUACUCAUCAGUGACUAAGCUUCCUUUAAUGAUGAAGGUCUUUAUUACUUAAUAUGAGGCAACUCCAAGUUCAAAUGUCUGAUAGAAGUCACACCAAACACAAAUACGUAUUAGGGUGUAAAUGACUGAUGUGAAGUUCUCCUCCCACCAAGGGCCAGGAGAGAGCCCUGGAUCGUGGGUGGGUAGGUACCACACAGGACUAGGGGAUGGGAGCAGAUGCCUCUUGGUAAUCAUUUGGACAUAAAAACUCUUUGGCUUACUGACUGAUCUUGAUCCACUGUGUGUCUCAAGAGGGCGGUGGAGACCUUAGGACAAGAAGGCACAGGCUCUAAAGUCUGACUCUGGUGAAUCCAAUCUCAGCUCUUACUUCCUUGCUGUGUGCUCUCAGACAGCUCCAAGCCUCCACUUUUUUGUCUAUAAAAUGGGGAUAAUAAUAAUACUGAUCUCAUAGGGUUGUUGUGAGGAUUUAAUGAAAUAAGGCACGUGCUUCUUUUCGCAUGUCUCCUACUACAUAAAACUUCAAAGAUGUUAGCUAUCAUUGUCCUGUCAUUGCUGUCUUCAUCAUCUGUAGUUUCGGAGAAGGAUUCUGAGCAAAAGGAGGAGAGGUUUGCAUACUGAACCAUCCGUCGUAGCAUUGCCAAAUUUAUCAAAUGAAAGUACCUAUCAUUUUAUUAUUUAUCUCAUAUUCAUAUUUAACUGGUGUAUUUUACCUUGGAAUCUUAAUCAAGCCUUUUAGGAGCAGGGUCUGGAUCCCCUAGGACAGUCACAGAAAUGGUCAGGGAGGCCUUGAAAGAAGUGAGGGCUGCAGCCUGAGGAGGCUGGGGAGGAAGGGCUGAGGGAAGCUGCCCAGCAGAGGCUGUGUGUGUGUGCGUGCGUGUGUGUGUGUGUGUGUGCGUGCGCGCGCGCGCACGUGUGUUUGUGUAGGGGGACUUGGGGGAGGACUCAUCUGUGGCACAGAGGCCACGUGCUUGGCGGAUGCAGAGGGCGUUGUGAAUCAGAGCGGGUAGACUCAGGCGCCUGCCAGCCGGCCGUGGGCAGGGAGAGUAGCAGCCUGUGUGGAGACACCACACCCCAGUUCCCUGUGGCAGGAACACAGGGGUGGGGACUGCUUCUGUUUUCUUCCGGAGAGAAACAGCCAGCAGUGCUCGGAGUGUUCUCACCCCAGUGGGUGUGCAGGACAGCCUCAGCUCAGUUGCCCUGUUCCUGCUUUUCUCUCCUCUCUGUCCCCUUACCCUCCUCUCCCGCUCCUCUCCUCUCUCUCCUCCCUCUCUCUUGAAUCCCCUCCACAGCAGCCUUUUUGCCAGAGCUGAUGUGGGUGGGAUCUGACGCAUCCUUGGUUACCUGCUCUUCCGCAGCCCUGGGCUCCUGCCCCUCCAGUACUGACUCCUGCCGCCUCCCCAGCAUGGCCAGCCCUUGGUAGCAGGGUCCCAAGUCCCCUGCAGUGAGGAACGCCCAAUGCCUGGUUCCCUGCAGCCUGUGGGAGAUGGCCCCUGUCCCCGUCCCCUCCAGGUAGGCAGGUGUGCCAGGAAAGCGAGGGUCACGCAGAGGUGCCCACUGCUGUGAAUUAUGGUGGGAGUGACCUGUUAUCCAGUUAACAUUUUGUGGCUCCACCCAUUUUCCCUCAUCAGAGGUAGACCGAGCCUCACAUAACCCAGGAUGUUAAUUCAGAGGUCUGUGUUUCCAAGCAUAAGGAGGCUUGUCUUUAUUCUCACUGUACAAAGAUAACCCUUAUCUUCUUUCACAUUCUUUCUUCUCCCCUGUUCAUCAUCCUAAGAACACUGAGUGAAGACAAGGUCUUGGGUUCCAAGGUUGUGGGUGGGCAACAGGUGUUUCCCAAUGAUCUGUGAUCCAAACAGGUACUGCUGACCUCUGGCUGUGCCUCUUAGGACUAGACAAGAUUGUGCUAAGGGCUCCCCUCUGUUACCACUGACCUGAUGGUUCCUUGACGAAAGAGAGCACCCACAUGUGUUCAGAGCACUUUGUUUUUCAGAUACAGAUAUUAAAAGGUGAUUUCUAUGUAGUUAAUCUUUUGAGGGGCCUGCUAUAAACUCUUCUGCAGACUUCUUUG
rnacentral:lncRNA from 1 species